UCUAUGGUAGUGUAUCGGUUAGUACACGCGCCUGUCAUCACACCAGGACCGCGCGAAAGCGGGGUUCGACUCCCGGCCAGGGAG
rnacentral:tRNA from 1 species